GACGGCUCCGGCCAAGAGAAGCACCGGCUCGUGGUGGUCGGCGGGGGUUGCGUGGGCAAGUCGGCGCUCACCAUCCAGUUCAUCCAGUCCUAUUCUGUAACGGAUUCUGAUCCAACCAUUGAGGACUCCUACACAAAGCAGUACGUGAUUGAUGACCGGGCAGCCCGGCUAGAUAUUCUAGAUACAGCAGGACAAGAGGAGUUUGGAGUUAUGAGAGAACAGUAUAUGAGAACUGGAGAAGGUUUCCUGUUAGUCUUUUCAGUCACAGAUAGAGGCAGUUUUGAAGAAAUCUGUAAGUUUCAAAGACAGAUUCUCAGAGUAAAGGAUCGUGAUGAGUUUCCAAUGACUUUAAUUGGUAAUAAAGCAGAUCUGGAUCAUCAAAAACGGGUAACACAGGAAGAAGGACAGCAGUUAGCAGGACAGCUUAAGGUAACAUACAUGGAGGCGUCAGCAAAGAUUAGGAUGAAUGUAGAUCAAGCUUUCCAUGAACUUGUCUGGGUUAUAAGGAAAUUUCAAGAGCAGGAAUGUCCUCCUUCACCAGAACCAACACAGAAAGAAAAAGACAAGAAAGGCUGCCAUUGUGUCAUUUUCUAAGAAUCCUUUGAAGCUUAGCUACCAACUGCCAGGAAAAGCCCUCGACUUCUCCUCUCCUUAAUGGUUUAUGUCACUUUGGUACCUUUCUAGCCUUUGACAAAUGAUCGCCAUGGUAGCCUUAGACCAAGAAGCUGGCUAAUCCUUUCCCUGAAGCUCAUCCUAUGGUCAUUUCAAGACAGAUUUAAAGGAAACACUAAGGCUGCUUCAAAGAUACAUGAUUCCUUUAAAAAAUAUAUCUAUAUACACAGACACAUUCUUUUUUAAGGGCUUUCUUUUAUUAGGGAUGAAUCAGUUUUGGAACCUAAGCUGUUUGCCAAGUUGGAGU